UGAAUUGCAGCAGUGAGUGGAUGGCAGCUCUGUGAUUUGAAGGAGAGGGCAGGGGAGAGAAGGAUCCUGGAUUCCUGAAAGGACUCUGACCUAUGACCAAAGAAUGCUCAGGUGUGGUAAAAAAACUGAGGAGACCGGAAGCCUAUGAAACUAGGAGAAAUAGGGUUAAGCUCUGCUGAUUGGAGAGUUUCCAGAUACUCUAGAGAGAAAGAGAGAGGUGCUGAUAUUAACUCCAGAAUGGACUCUCUAAUACAAACACUUCCUGCUGAAAGGCAAGAAGAAACCAUCACAGUGGUCUAUUCCUGAAAACUCUUGCACCAUGCCAAAUCCUGAACUUUACUAACUGA